AGUAUUUGGGUCUGUGGUUGCAAGUCCAAGCCAGUCGCGGGCAAAGGGAUCCACGUAAGCUACUUCUAAAAAUGGAAGAGUGAGCAUGGCGCGGCUUAGAAGUAAGACCUGCCGAUACAAAAUCGAGAGGGCUAGUAGUGAGGUAACCCCGAAGCGAAAGUUCCAGCAGGCGAGUGUGGGGUCAAAGAUCAGGUCAGCCAAAUAAA
rfam:Peptostreptococcus anaerobius CAG:621 genomic scaffold, scf18